GCAGAGGAAUUUUUAGCAUCCAUUGCAUGACCUAUCAAAAUCAAAGUGGACUCUUGAGUUGGAUGUUUACUACCUGUGACUACCUUCACUUCAGCUUCCUAGCACUUGACCUUCUUUCCAUAAAGGUUGCUAGAAGACACAUAACCAGAGAUAUGUCUGAAGUAAGAUAUCAGUUAACAGCUGAGGACACCAAGGAAAAGCAGCCAUAA
rnacentral:lncRNA from 1 species